GACAACGUGGCCGAGUGGUUAAGGCGGCUCCCUGCUAAGGAGUUUCCAUUUGGAGCGCAGGUUCGAAUCCUGCCGUUGUCG
rfam:Entamoeba invadens IP1 unplaced genomic scaffold scaff_1105074724783, whole genome shotgun sequence.